rfam:Strigamia maritima strain Brora ctg7180001201426, whole genome shotgun sequence.
UUCUAAAUGAUACUUCUUCUAACAUUGCUGCACUGUUGGUAACAUUGCUGCACUGUUGGCAACAGUGCAGCAAUGUUAGAAGAAGUAUCAUUUGGAA